UACGUAGGGGGCAAGCGUUGUCCGGAUUUAUUGGGCGUAAAGAGCGUGUAGGCGGCCAGGUAGGUCUGCUGUGAAAGCCCUCGGCUUAACCGAGGAACUGCCUGUCAGACUGGAAGGCUUGAGACCGGGAGAGGUGAGUGGAAUUCCCAGUGUAGCGGUGAAAUGCGUAGAUAUUGGGAGGAACACCAGUGGCGAAGGCGGCUCACUGGACCGGUACUGACGCUGAGGCGCGAAAGCGUGGGGAGCAAACAGGG
rnacentral:rRNA from 1 species